rnacentral:rRNA from 1 species
UACAGAGGGGGCAAGCGUUGUUCGGAAUUACUGGGCGUAAAGGGCGCGUAGGCGGCCUGUUAAGUCGAACGUGAAAUCCCCGGGCUCAACCCGGGAACUGCGUCCGAUACUGGCAGGCUUGAAUUCGGGAGAGGGAUGUGGAAUUCCAGGUGUAGCGGUGAAAUGCGCAGAUAUCAGGAGGAACACCGAUUGCGAAGGCAGCUCGCUGGGACGUCACUGACGCUGAGACGCGAAAGCGUGGGGAGCAAACAGG